rnacentral:rRNA from 1 species
GAGUCAUUGGGACUCAAUUAAACCUAAAGGCGCAAUGAAAGUAAAGGUCCGCCUCGCGCGGACCGAGGGAGGAUGGGCCCGUUCACGGGCGGGCCCCGCACUCCCGGGGCGUCUCGUGCUCAUUGCGAGUAGAGGCGCACCCAGAGCGUACACGCUGGGACCCGAAAGAUGGUGAACUAUGCCUGGUCAGGACGAAGUCAGGGGAAACCCUGAUGGAGGUCCGUAGCGAUUCUGACGUGCAAAUCGAUCGUCGGAACUGGGUAUAGG